AUGCCCCCACAGGUGGGUGUGGGGGGUUCAGGCCGCCGGCAAGUUGCCAGGCCCGGGGCCUCCUCCCCUGACGCUGACGAGGGGUCCGUGACGCUGAAGGCCGGGCGCUCAGGUGGACGCGGCCACACCCCUCCCUCUGGCUUGUCACCGACGUGCAGGAGUCCCCGAUCCCAGAAACACGGGGACAACAUUUCCCCGAUGUUGAGGGAGACCUCGGCAACACGCCCCAGCAGCGACCCCGACGCUGAAAUCCUCUUGCUUGCAUUCCCACGCAGGACUCGGAGCACCUCAGGGAAGAACGUGUCCCUGCCCGCCCUGGAGACGUCCAGCCCGGCGUGGCCCAGACCGUCGGCAGCAGCCAUCCUCCGCCAGGCUGCGCAGCGGGGGCGGCUGAGCCCGGGCAGCGACAACACAGGUCAACUCGACAGAAAGAAAACCGGUCCCCAAGGCCACGCCCGGCUCCCGGACCCCACAAGGAGAGUGGCCACCACACCCGAAGCUCCUCAACACCAGCUAGCAGUCCCCUCCAGGACACGUGGAAGCUGCUGGACCUGGGAUCCAGCCCCUCCGGCCUCACCUCCCAGGACGACUCUGAGCCAGGUAGACUGAGGCCCAGGCUCCCGGGCUCCUGGGCCCCAACAGGGCAGAGACGGUGCUGGCGACUGCCUUACUUCAGGGAGGCCCGGCCCCGGGAGGACCCCACAUGCGUCCGGAAGAUUAUCUCCAAAGUGCAGAAAGCACUUCCUGGUUUAUGGGACGACUGUGUGGGACAAAGGUCAUUGGGUACAUGCGGGUGGGCAUUGAAGGUCAGGUCGGGGGUCCUGCUGGCUCAGGGCAGUCCUUCAAGCUGGAGGGGAGUUUGGGUUCCUGUCAGCGACCCUGCUCUGCCAGAGGCAACAGGGAAGCCGGCAGGAGGAACUUAGUGACAAACUAGAGCCAGGGGUCAGAAUGGAGGGGAGACAGUGUGUCUCUGGCCUCUGCUGGCAGGGCUGGGGGACAGCAAGGUGGCCACGGUGGCCACGGCCAGGCUGAAGUGCAGGCGCACAUGCUAAGCCCUUCCCGCCUGGGUGGGCUCCCGCGCUGAAGCCCGGUGCCGUGCGCGUCCCCACCCGCGGCGUGGUGCAGGCCCCCUCCGCAGGGAGCCAGAGCCUCCAGGCCAGGAGACGCAGGCGUCCUCUGUUCUGCUCGGCCUCCUGAGCAUGACCCCGUCCUGGUCCUGGUCCUGCCUGGUCGUCCUGGGUGUCCAGCAGCGUCCAUCCGGAGGGCCCACCUCUGGGGAGCCGCAUGACCCCACGUGGCCCAAAGGCCGAGGCCAAGCCAGGGCAGCUACACGCACCCCUUGGGGGAUCCGAGCGCAGGGAGAGCCCUCGCCCCAGCUCUCUGCCCGCGCGGUCGCGCUCCGUCAUGCGCACGUGAACCGACGUGACUGUGUCCUGCAGCGGACAUUAUAGAUUAUUUCCAACCUUUGUCCCACACGUCAUGUUACAGUGAAUGGCCUUGUACACACUCUCUCCAGGGUGUCUGUAAAUUCGAGGGGCGGAGCGUUGCUUUGUCAGAAAGCAGAUGCAUUUCUCACUGGGGAGGUGUCCAGCUGCUCUGUGUGGACACCAGCAGUUCCUGGGCACACAAGGGUGCAGGGUGCAUGGGGGGGAAUGUGGGGGGUGCGCAGGAGGGGG
rnacentral:lncRNA from 1 species